GCCUGGCUGGCUCAGUCGGUAGAGCAUGCAACUCUUGAUUUCAGGGUUGUGAGUUUGAGCCCCAUGUUGGGUG
rnacentral:tRNA from 1 species